rnacentral:rRNA from 1 species
ACGAACGCUGGCGGCGUGCCUAAUACAUGCAAGUUGAGCGCUGAAGGUUGGUACUUGUACCAACUGGAUGAGCAGCGAACGGGUGAGUAACGCGUGGGGAAUCUGCCUUUGAGCGGGGGACAACAUUUGGAAACGAAUGCUAAUACCGCAUAAAAACUUUAAACACAAGUUUUAAGUUUGAAAGAUGCAAUUGCAUCACUCAAAGAUGAUCCCGCGUUGUAUUAGCUAGUUGGUGAGGUAAAGGCUCACCAGGGCGAUGAUACAUAGCCGACCUGAGAGGGUGAUCGGCCACAUUGGGACUGAGACACGGCCCAAACUCCUACGGGAGGCAGCAGUAGGGAAUCUUCGGCAAUGGACGAAAGUCUGACCGAGCAACGCCGCGUGAGUGAAGAAGGUUUUCGGAUCGUAAAACUCUGUUGGUAGAGAAGAACGUUGGUGAGAGUGGAAAGCUCAUCAAGUGACGGUAACUACCCAGAAAGGGACGGCUAACUACGUG